rnacentral:lncRNA from 1 species
AUUACCCGAAAACACUGAUGUGACUCAUUAACCUAGAAAGAAACUGUUUAUGGCUCUCAAGUAUUUGAAAUUCUCCCAUGUGGCUUGUAGUGACACAAAACUUCGCCACUCCUGUAAUAGGCACUCUGCAACUUAUAUAGUUGGAUUGUUUAUGCAAAACCAAAACCCCAUGUUGGUCAAAAUGUAUGCCAGAGCAUUCUGUAUAUGAUACUAUUGUGUCAUGUCAAUUGGAGGCCAUGUGGUAAAGCAGAUGAUUACUACCUUGGUAGAUCUAGAUUUCACUUCCAGUUUUCCAGAAGAGCUUUGAUACAACUUAUUGAAACCUAUUCUUCAAUCUUUCUGGUUUACUCUAUUGUGGAUGUUGGUCAGCCAGUGAUGGGCUUUAGAAGUGGCUGCUUCCAGAUGCACUUUAUUCCAUGUAUGAUAUAUAUGGAAUACAGUACUUAACUAAAACUAAUUACAGCUAUUUCCAUUUUAUAAAAAUUGAACAUUCAUAUACAAAAUCUUUCGUAAGCCAAAAUGGCAUAAAGAAGCGAUUACCAUUAAUUUAUAUGGGAAAAAUUUUUGAGUAUUCCUAAAUUCAAAAGAAUAACAUCCCAAAUCGUACCAAAUAACA